rnacentral:rRNA from 1 species
UACAGAGGGUGCGAGCGUUGUCCGGAAUCACUGGGCGUAAAGGGCGCGUAGGUGGUGGCUUAAGCGUGCGGUGAAAGCUCGGGGCUCAACCCCGAGUCGGCCGUGCGAACUGGGCUCACUGGAGCAUAGUAGAGGCAGGUGGAAUUCCGGGUGUAGCGGUGGAAUGCGUAGAGAUCCGGAGGAAGACCGGUGGCGAAGGCGGCCUGCUGGGCAGUUUCUGACACUGAGGCGCGACAGCGUGGGGAGCAAACAGG